rnacentral:tRNA from 1 species
GGAGAGGUAGUCAAGUGGUCGAAGACAGCGGUUUACUAAACCGCCAUAUCUGUAAAAAGAUAUCCAGGGUUCGAAUCCCUGCCUCUCCG